rnacentral:rRNA from 1 species
AGAGUUUGAUCAUGGCUCAGGACGAACGCUGGCGGCGUGCCUAACACAUGCAAGUUGAGCGACGAACCAGGGCUUGCCCUGGGGCAAAGCAGCGAACGGGUGAGUAACACGUGGGUAGCGUGCCCCGAUAACCGGGACAACCCGAGGAAACUCGGGCUAAUACCGGAUGUGCCCACCGGACACCAGUCCGGUGUGUAAAGGAAGCUUCGGCCUCCGUAUCGGGAGCGGCCCGCGGCCCAUUAGCUAGUUGGUGAGGUAACGGCUCACCAAGGCAACGAUGGGUAGCUGGUCUGAGAGGACGAUCAGCCACACUGGGACUGAGACACGGCCCAGACUCCUACGGGAGGCAGCAGUGGGGAAUCUUGCGCAAUGCGCGAAAGCGUGACGCAGCAACGCCGCGUGGGGGAAGAAGGCCUUCGGGUUGUAAACCCCUUUCAGGAGGGACGAAGGUGCGACGGUGAACAGCCGUUCGCACUGACGGUACCUCCACAAGAAGCCCCGGCUAACUACGUGCCAGCAGCCGCGGUAAUACGUAGGGGGCAAGCGUUGUCCGGAAUCAUUGGGCGUAAAGCGCGCGUAGGCGGCCCGGUAAGUCCGCUCUGAAAGUCCAGGGCUCAACCCUGGAAAGCGGGUGGAUACUGCCGGGCUAGAAUCCGGAAGAGGCGAGUGGAAUUCCUGGUGUAGCGGUGGAAUGCGCAGAUAUCAGGAGGAACACCAAUAGCGAAGGCAGCUCGCUGGGACGGUAUUGACGCUAAGGCGCGAAAGCGUGGGGAGCAAACAGGAUUAGAUACCCCCGUAGUCC